GAUGAACGCUGGCGGCGUGCCUAACACAUGCAAGUCGAACGGAGAUUUAACGCUGAUGAGGCUUCGGCGGAUUCUUGUUAAAUCUUAGUGGCGGACGGGUGAGUAACGCGUGGGCAACCUGCCUCAUACUGGGGGAUAACAGUUGGAAACGGCUGUUAAUACCGCAUAAGCGCACAGUAUCGCAUGAUACAGUGUGAAAAACUCCGGUGGUAUGAGAUGGGCCCGCGUCAGAUUAGCCAGUUGGCAGGGUAACGGCCUACCAAAGCAACGAUCUGUAGCCGGCCUGAGAGGGCGGACGGCCACAUUGGGACUGAGACACGGCCCAAACUCCUACGGGAGGCAGCAGUGGGGGAUAUUGCACAAUGGAGGAAACUCUGAUGCAGCGACGCCGCGUGAGUGAAGAAGUAUUUCGGUAUGUAAAGCUCUAUCAGCAGGGAAGAAAGGCUCGUAAGAGAGAUGA
rnacentral:rRNA from 1 species